GAUGAGCGCUGGCGGCGUGCCUAAUACAUGCAAGUCGAGCGAACAGAUGAGGAGCUUGCUCCUCUGACGUUAGCGGCGGACGGGUGAGUAACACGUGGAUAACCUACCUAUAAGACUGGGAUAACUUCGGGAAACCGGAGCUAAUACCGGAUAAUAUAUUGAACCGCAUGGUUCAAUAGUGAAAGACGGUUUUGCUGUCACUUAUAGAUGGAUCCGCGCCGCAUUAGCUAGUUGGUAAGGUAACGGCUUACCAAGGCGACGAUGCGUAGCCGACCUGAGAGGGUGAUCGGCCACACUGGAACUGAGACACGGUCCAGACUCCUACGGGAGGCAGCAGUAGGGAAUCUUCCGCAAUGGGCGAAAGCCUGACGGAGCAACGCCGCGUGAGUGAUGAAGGUCUUCGGAUCGUAAAACUCUGUUAUUAGGGAAGAACAAAUGUGUAAGUAACUAUGCACGUCUUGACGGUACCUAAUCAGAAAGCCACGGCUAACUACGUG
rnacentral:rRNA from 1 species